rnacentral:misc_RNA from 1 species
AAGUCGUAACAAGGUUUCCGUAGGUGAACCUGCGGAAGGAUCAUUAACAAAUUACAAAUGCGAUCUGCAGCAAGACAGCAUCCGUGUGCGCAGCACAUGGUACCUCUCCUGCUCAGGUAUUUUACUGGCAGAUGCUGCGCAUCUGACUUCAGAUGCGCAGCAUCUGCUAGUAAAAAAGCAACUAGGUGUGCAAGCAAUUGCAUCAUCUUUACUGGCAGACACUACGCAUCUGAUUUCAGAUGCGUAGUGUCUGCCAGUUAAAAACGAUACAUGUUGACAACGACAGAACACACAAACUUUUAACAAUGGAUCUCUCGGCUCUU